rfam:Triticum aestivum genome assembly, contig: Triticum_aestivum_CS42_TGACv1_scaffold_438383_5DL
AUGAUAUUACCUCCUUCCCAAAUUACUUGUCUUAGAUUUGUUUACAUAUGGAUAUAUCUAACGUUAAAACAUGUCUACACAUAGACAAAACUAAGACAAAUAAUUUGGGACGGAGGGAGUACAGU